rnacentral:lncRNA from 1 species
CUUUUCUUAGGUUAGGGGUUGGAGGAAGGGUAGGGGACGCGAGCCUGCUUCCAUCUGACGCUGGACGCUUGUCCCUGCCCCGCGUUGCCUUUUAAAUUUUAGCUCAUUCCGAGACACCUGCCGUCAGACAUUUAUGCAGUGUGUGAUUCUUUCUAAAACAACUCCCUGGAAGAGAGGACAUUUAAUUCAACAAUUUAUUGGCCACCUACUGUGCACCAGGCAGUGAACUUGGAACUGGGGCUACUGGGUUACAGCAGUGACCAAGACAGAGGUCCCUGUUCUUAAGGAGCAAGUGAGGGCAACAGAAAAGAGCAGGUAAACAAAUAAGAUAAUUUCAGAUAGUUGUGACUGCUAUAAAGAAAAUAAAGCUGGGCUGGGUGUGGUGGUUCACGCCUGUAAUCCCUGCACUUUGGGAUGCCAAGGCGGGAGAAUCGCUUGAGCCCAGGAGUUUCAGACCAGCCUGGGUAACAUAGAGAAAUCCCACCUCCACAAAAAUUCAAAAAUUAGCCGGGCAUGGUAGCAAGCACCUGUCAUCUCAGCUUCUGGGGAGGCUGAGGUGGGAAAACGCUUAAGCCAGAGAUUUUGAGGCUGUAGUGAGCUAUGAUGGUGCCACUGCACCCCAGACUGGGUGAUGGAAAGAAGGGAGGGAGGGGCUGGGCAAGGUGGCUCACAUCUGAAAUCCCAGCGCUUUGAGAGGCUGAGGUGGGCAGAUGCUUGAGCCUAGAAGUUCAAGACCAGCCUAGGCAACAUGGCAAAAGCCUGUCUCUACAAAAAAUACAAAACAGCCAGGUGUGAUGGCCUGUGCCUUUAGUCCUAGCUACUUGGGAGGCUGAGGCAGGAAGAUCGUUUGAGCCCGGGAAGUUGAGGCUGCAGUGAGCUGUGAUCGUACCACUGCACCCCAGCCUGUGGGACAGAGUGAGACCCUGUCUCAAACGACAAUGAAAAGAAAACAAGGUAAUGAGAGAGUGAGUGACUGGGACGGGGGAUGAUAGAGAUGGGGGAGAGUUUAGAUCUCAAGAUGACGAAGAACCAUCCAUGUAAAACAUUCCAGGCAGAGGAAACAGCAAGUGCAAGGGACUGGAGAUGGGAAGGAGACUGGGACGAGGUAUUGAGAGGGCAUGGAUAGGUGCCAAGACCAGAGAUGGGGGAGUGUACAUGAGGAAUACGAUGCGUUUAUGUUGAGCUGGAGCUGAAGGGCAAUACGGUAGUUGGUCCUCAGAAGCCAAGUUAUGGAGUUCCCUGGGUUGUGGGGAGCCAGGGACAGUUUUUUUAUUGCAGGAUGACAUGAUCAGAGGUACGCUUCAGCAAGAUUAAGGAGUUUCAUGUGUUGUAGUUGGAUUGGAGGAGGGAAAUUUGGGGGGAAAGAUCAGCUGGAAAUUUUCUUGUGUUUCAAAAACAUGUUCACAAAUUCUUUUUUUUUUUUUCUUUUUGAGAUGGAGUCUUGCUCUGUCACCCAGGCUGGAGUGCGGUGGCGCCAUCUCGGCUCACUGCAAGCUCCGCCUCCCGGGUUCACGCCAUUCUCCUGCCUCAGCCUCCCCAGUAGCUGGGACUACAGGCGCCUGCCACCACGCCCUGCUAAUUUUUGUUGUAUUUUUUUAGUAGAGACAGGGUUUCACCGUUUUAGCCAGGAUGGUCUCAAUCUCCUGACCUCAUGAUCCGCCCCCCUCAGCCUCCCAAAGUGCUGGGAUUACAGGCAUGAGCCACUGCGCCCGGCCCUUCACAAAUUCUUUAAUGUUCCUUCCUUCAAAAGGAAGAGCCUAAUUCCUCCUCCCCUUCCCAGUUAAGUGUGAACUUGCCUCUAACUAAUAGAAUAUGGCAGAAGUGAUGGUUUGUGAUAUCUAAGAUUGGACAUAGAAAGCUCUAUGUUUUCCUCCUGGCUGUCUUAUUUUGUAUCAUUUAUUCUGGGAGAAGUCAGCUGUCAUGCGAGGGCACUCAAGCAGCCCUGUGGAAAGCUCUACGUGGUGAGAAACUGAAGCCUCCUGCCAACACCAACAAGGAACUGAGACCUACUUCCAACAGCCAUCUGAGUGAUCGAUCCAUCCUGGAAUCAGAUCCUCCAGCCCCAGUCAAGUCUUCAGAUGACUGCAGCCCUGACCAGCAUCUCAACUGCAACCUCGUGAAUGACCCUGAGCCAGAACCAUGCAACUAAACUCUGCGUGGAUUCAUGACCCACAGAAACUGUGAGAUGGUAGCUGUUUGCUUUGUUAAGCCUCUAAGUCUGGAAAGAAUGUCUUAAGCAGUAGCAGACAAUGAACACAAGAUUAUUAUUCAGCUGUUGAAUUGGAAGAGGAGGGGAAGAAAAAAUUUUCAGAUCACAAAAUAUUCAUUGUGUAAAACUUCAAAAAUUCUGAAAUUUAAGGAAAAAAUAUCAUUUGUUGGGAAUUUGUUGGGAUUCAUUGUCUCAGUGCCAAGAGACACCCACUCUUUUUUUUUUUUUGAGACAGAGUCCUGCUCUGUUGCCCAGGCUGAAGGGCAGUGGCACGAUCUCAGCUCACCACAACCUCUGCCUCCCGGGUUCAAGUGAUUCUCCUCCCUAAGCCUCCCAAGUGGCUGGGACUACAGGCAUGCAUCACCAUGCCCGGCUAAUUUUUGUAUUUUUAGUAGAGACGGGGUUUCACUAUGUUGGCCGGCUGAUCUCAAACUCUUGACCCCGUGAUCCGCCCGCAUCAGCCUCCCAAAGUGCCGGGAUUACAGGCAUGAGCCACUGCGCCCGGCCGAGACACUCACUCUUAACAUUUUGGUAUAUUUUUUCUCUCUGCACAUUUUUUAUCCAGCUGACUUUAUUUUGUCUCCUGAAAUCUUCAUUUUUAAAUUAUAGCUUCAGCAUUUAAGAAAAUGUGUCUAACAAAGUCUUCGCAAGCAUACAUUUUUCCCAUAGUUAGUAUACUUAGAAUUUAUUUGUCAAGCAAUUUUGAAGGGCUUUCACUAUGAAAAACUUUAGGGCUUAUUGAUAUUCUCUUUAAGUAGAAGUAUGUUUUUUAUUAUUACAAAAGUUAUAUAUGUAUAUAUAUGGUGUUUGUGUUUGUGUGUGUGUGUGUGUGUGUGUGUGUGUGUGUGUGGAGUCUCGCUCUGUCACCAGGCUGGAGUGCAGUGGCGUGAUCUCAGCUCACUGCAACUUCCUCCUCCCAGGUUCAAGCGAUUCUCCUGCCUCAGCCUCCUGAGUAGCUGGAACUACAGGUGCGUGCCACCACGCCUGGCUAAUUUUUGUAUUUUUAGUAGAGACGGAGUUUCGCCAUGUUGGUCAGGCUGGCCUCGAAUUCCUGACCUCAAGUGAUCCGCCCGCCUCGGCCUCCCAAAGUUUUGGGAUUACAGGCAUGAGCCACUGCGCCCGGCCUUAUACUGAAUUAUAUAAGGCGAAAAGUGAACGUCUCCUGUAAUCUAGAAAAAUGGCAUUAUAAUGAGUAAAUUUUAAAUUUUAAUGUAAUUUUCCAGAAUUUUUUUUUUUUGAGACGGGACGGAGUCUCACUCUGUUGCCCAGGCUGGAGUGCAGUGACGCGAUCCUGGCUCACCGCAACCUCUGCCUCCCACGUUCAAGCGAUUCUCCUGCCUCAGCCUCCCAAGUAGCUGGGACUACAGCCGCCCACCACUGCGCCCGACUAAUUUUUGUAUUUUUAAUAGAGACGGGGUUUCGCCAUAUCGGCCAGGCUGGUCUGGAACUCCUGACCUUGUGAUCUGCCCGCCUUGGCCUCCUAAAGUGCUGGGAUUAUAAGCGUGAGCCACCGUGCCCGGCCUUUUUUUUUUUUCGACAAGGUCUCUCCCUGUCACCCAGGAUGGGGUGCAGUGGCGCAAUCACAGCUCACUGCAGCCUCAACCUCUUGGGCUCAAGUGAUCUUCCCACGUCAGUGUCCCAGGUAGCUGGGACUACAGACGCGUACCACCACACAGGGCUAAUUUUUUGUAUUUUUUAUAGAGACUGAGUUUUGCCACGUUGCCCGAGCUGGUCUCAAAUUCCUGGGCUUAAGCGGUCUGCCCACCUUGGCCUCCCAAAGUGCUGGGAUUACAGGCAUGAGCCACUUCACCUGGCCAUCCAGAAACUUAAAUGCUUAUAAUCACAUGCACACAUAGUUUUUUUUACACAAGUGGAAUGUUACUAUAUGUAAUUUCUAGUAACCUGCUUUUUUCACAUCUCUUUUCUCUUUCCAUGUAGUGCGUAGGUUCUCGUCCAGGUCUGCCGAGUAUAUUGUAAUUCAUUUAAUCAGUUCUUUUUUUUUUAGAGACGGAGUUUCACUCUUUUUGCCUGGGCUGGAGUGCAAUGGCGUGAUCUCGGAUUACUGCAAACUCUGCCUCCUGGGUUCAAAUGACUCUGCUGCCUCAGCCUUCCAAGUAGCUGGAAUUACAGGCGUGCAUCACCACGCCUGGCUAAUUUUGUGUUCUUAUUAGAGAUGGGGUUUCACCAUGUUGGUCAGGCUGGUCUCGAACUCCUGACCUCAGGUGAUCUGCCCACCUCGGCCUCCCAAAGUGAAUCAGUUCCUUCUUGAAAGACAUUUUGAUUGUUUUACCCCUUUUUGCUAUUAUAAACAAUAUGGCAGUGAACACCUUUGUAUGUAUGUUUUUGGCCACUUAUUUAUUUAGAGAUGGAGUCUCGCUCUGUCGCCAGGCUGGAGUGCAGUGGCGCAAUCUUGGCUCACUGUAAUCUCCACCUCCUGGGUUCAAGCGAUUCUCUUUCCUCAGCCUCCUGAGUAGCUGGGAUUACAAGUGUGCGCUACCACACCCAGCUAAUUUUUAUUUUUUUUUGAGACGGAUUCUCGCUUUGUCACCCAGGCUGGAGUGCAGUGGCUUGAUGUCGGCUCACUGCAAGCUCUGCCUCCCGGGUUCACACCAUUCUCCUGUCUCAGCCUCCCGAGUAGCUGGGACUACAGGCGCCCGCCACCAUGCCCGGCUAAUUUUUUUUUUUUUGUAUUUUUAGUAGAGCUGGGUUUUCACCGUGUUAGCCAGGAUGGUCUCGAUCUCCUCACCUUGUGAUCUGCCUGCCUUGGCCUCCCAAAGUGCUGGGAUUACAGGCGUGAGCCACCGUGCCCGACCUGUAUUUUUAAUAGAGAUGGGGUUUCACCAUGUUGGCCAGGAUGGUCUCGAUCUCCUGACCUCAUGAUCUGCCUGCCUCAGCCUCCCGAAGUGCUGGGAUGACAGGCGUGAGCCACUGCACCCGGCCUGUCUGUUAUUUCUUUAGGAAAAAUUCAUACACAGAGACUCCACAAUAUAACAGAACAGACAUUUAAACUGGCUGUCCCCCAAACACAACAGGCUUGGGCCUACCUCAGGGCCCUCAUUCAUGCUGUCUCCUUUGUCUGGAACUCUUUUCACCCCCAUCCCCACAUGGGCUGGAGCAUCUACUCAUCCUAGCUUCGGCUCAAACGGGCUCCCCAGAGAGGACUGUCCUGACCACUCUCUGCCGUUUCCCGUUCAUCUCCCUCUGUCUCAGGUAUACAGAAUCGCUUCAUCUGCGACACAUUCUCAUUGUUGCCUGUGAUUCCCUCACUUUAUGCUUGUGUGGGUUUUUUUUAGAGACCUGGUCUUGCUCUGUUGCCUGGGCUGGAGUACAGUGGUGCGAUCAUAGCUCACUGCAUCCUGGAACUUCUGGGCCCAAGUGAUCCUCCUGCCUCAGCCUCCCAAGUAGUUAGGACUACAGAUGCAUGCCACCAUGGCUGGCUAAUUUCGAAAAAUUUUUUUUGUAGAGGCAGGUUCUCACUAUGUUUCCUAGGCUGGUCUUGAACUCCUGGGCUCAAGCGAUUUUCCCACCACAGCCUCCCAAAGUGCUGGGAUACAGGUGUGAGCCACCAUGCCUGGCCCUGUGUGUAUUUAUUUUUACAUAACAUAAUAAAAAUCUGUGGAGUCAGCAAUCUGACACAAGAACUGGAACAUUGAUAACCUGUUUUCCCCAAUGAAUUCCUUUACCAUCCCAUCUCCUGCCUUCCUUCACCUGAGGUAAUGUCUAUCCUGAUUCUUCCAGAACAUUAAAAAAAAAAAAAAACAGCUUUGUUGAGAUGUAAUUCACAUACCACACUAUUCAGUCAUUUAUAGUUUACAAUUCAGUGGCUUUCAGUGCAUUCACAGAGUUGUGUAACUGUUGCCACAAUGGAUUUUAGACUAUUUUCAUCAUCCCCAAAAGAAACCAUUAGCAUCAGUACUCAUUAGCAGUCACUCUCCCAUCUGCUCUGCCUUCCCUCUAAUCCCCAGCCCUAGGCCACCAUUAAUCUGCUUCUGUAUCCAUGGAUUUGUCUCUUCUGGACAGUUCAUGUAAAGAGAAUCAUACAACAUGUGGCCUUUUGUGCCUGGCUUCUUUCACUUAGCAUCAUGAUUUCUAGGUUCAUCUAUGUUGUAGCAUGUAUCAGAACUUCCUUUUUAUUGCCAAAUAAUAUUCCAUUAUAGGCCAGAUGUGGUGUCUCAUGCCUACAAUCCCAACACUUUGGGAAGUAGAGGUUGGAAGGAUUGCUUGAGCCCAGGAGUUCGAGACGAGUCUGGGCAACAUAGUGAGACCCCGUCUCUAAAAAUAGAAAAAUUAACUGGGCCUGGUGGUGUGUGCCUAUAGUCCUAGUUACUUGGGAGACUGAGUCAGGAGGAUCUCUUGAGCCUGGGAGUUCCAGGCUGCAGUGAGCCAUGAUCACACCACUGCACUCCAGCCUGGGUGACAGAGUGGAACUGUCUCAAAGAAAAAAAUAUAUAUAUGGCCAGGUGUGGUGGCUCACAUCUGUAAUCCCAGCACUUUGGAAGGCUGAGGCAGGAGGAUCAUGAGGUCAGGAGAUGGAAACCAUCCUGGCUAACACGAUGAAACCCAUCUCUACUAAAAAUACAAAAAAUUAGCCGGGCGUGGUGGCACGGGCCUGUAGUCCCAGAAGGCUGAGGCAGGAGAAUCGCUUGAACCUGGGAGGCAGAGGUUGCAAUGAGCGGAGAUUGUGCCACUGCACUCCAGCCUGGGCGACAGAGUGAGACUCGGUCUCAAAAUAAUAAUAAUAAUAAUAAUAAUAAUAAUACCUAUUCUUAAUGAUACCUGAAGGCAGGAUGAAGCCAACUCAGGUGUGGGUGUGGCUGUUGUAGGUACUGUCGUGUUACUCCACUCACCCUAACUGUGUCUAGCUCCAAAAUACCUAUUUGCCAACUGGCAUGGUCCUCAAAGACAUUCAUAAUGAGAAGAGAACAAUAGGGACAAGGUAAUUUCUUUUUUGAUUCAUCUAAAUUUCCUGAUUUUAAAAAAGUCAGGCCAGGGGCAGUGGCUCGCACCUGUAAUCCCAGCACUUUUGGAGGCUGAGGCAGGCAGAUCACCUGCGGUCAGGAGUUUGAGACCAGUCUGACCAACAUGGAGAAACCCCGUCUCUACUAAAAAUACAAAAUUAACUGGAGGUGUUGGCGCAUGCCUGUAAUCCCAGCUACUCAGAAGGCUGAGGGAGGAGAAUUACUUGAACCUGGGAGGCAGAGGUUGCAGUGAGCCAAGAUAGCGCCAUUGCACUCCAGCCUGGGCAACAAGAGCAAAACUCCAUAUCAAAAACAAAAACAAACAAACAAACAAAAAAAGCCAGUGGCUCAUACCUAUAAUCCCAGCACUUUGGGAGGCUAGCUUGAGCCUAGGAGUUUGAGACCAGCCUGGGCAAAAUAUUGAGACCCACAUCUCUACAAUAAAUAAAAAAUUUACCAGUUGUGGUGGUGCACAUUUGUGGUCCCAACCACUGGGGAGGCUGAGGUGGGAGGAUCACUUGAGCCCAGGAGGUUGAGGCUGCAGUGAGCAGUGAUCACCCCACUGCACUCCAGCCUGGGCAACAGAGCAAGACAGUGUCUCAAAAAAAAAAAAAAAAAAAGAAAAAUCAGAGAUUAUGAUAGUGUGUGCAUUACAAGGUCUCUUUUCUUUUGUAUGUGUGUGAGAUGGCAUCUCCCUCUGUUGCCCAGGCUGGAGUGCAGUGGCAUCAUCAUAGCUCACUGCUACCUCAAACUCUGGGGCUCAAAUGAUCUUCCCACCUCAGCCUCCUGAGUAACUGAGACUACAGGUCCUUUCUUUUCACUAAAUAAUAAGAGAUCUUUUAAAAAACAAUAUAGCUAGGCACGGUGGCUCACACCUGUAAUCCCAACACUUUGGGAGGCCGAGGCGGGCAGAUCACGAGGUCAAGAGAUCGAGACCAUCCUGGCCAACAUGGUGAAACCAUGUCUCUACUAAAAAUACAAAAGUUAGCUGGUCUUGGUGAUACGUACCUGUAGUCUCAGCUAUUUGGGAGGCUGAGGCAGGAGAAUCGCUUGAACCCAGGUGGUGGAGGUUGCAGUGAGCCGAGAUUGUGCCAUUGCACUCCAGCCUGGUGACAGAGCAAGACGCAGUCUCAAAAACAAAACUCAGAAACCAAUAUAAUAGUAUAAACUGCACAGCGGCUAUUGAGUACUUGAAAUGUGGCUAAUAUAGCUGGGCACAGUGGCACACAUUGUAGUCCCAGCCACUUUUGAGGUUGAGGCAGGAGGAUUGCUUGAGCCCAGGAGUUCAAGGCUGUAGUGCCCUAUGAUUGCACCUGUGAGUAGCCACUGUACUCCAGCCUAGGCAACAGCAAGACCCCUGUAUCAAAACAAACAAAAGAAGUGUGGCUAUUAGACAUAUUACAAAUAUUCCCAGAGGUGACUCAGAAGUUAAUCAUAGAAGUCAAACUUUGCUUAUUGUUAUGAGUCUCUAGGGAGUACUUCAACUCAUUUGCAUCUGUUUCCUCAUCUUCAAAAUGGGACAGUGUAAUUCUGGACCUGGGACAUAGUAAGGAUUCAAUGGGUGGCAGCUGUGACAAGAGCAACAACAAAAAUAUUGUGCGUCUUUCUUUUUUUUAAUAAUGGCACAAAAAGGCAAAACCAUAGAUACAGUAAACGGAUGUGUGGUUGCCAGUGUUUGGCGGGGAGAGGGUUCAAUAAGUGAGCACAGGGGGUUUUUUAGGGUGAAGAAAUGUGGGUAUAUGACUGUGCAUUGGUUGAUAUCCAUUAAACUUAAUAGCACAAAAAGUGAACCUUAAUGCAUGCAAAGUUAAAAAAAUCACUUAGGACAUUUAGAUAAUUCCAAAAUGUCAUGCAGAAUAUGACAAACAUCUUCACCGUAUUACAAAUGUGUGAAAUGACCUCAUGAAGAGGAUAGAGGAAAACGUGCUGACCUAAGUAACUUUAGAAAUGAGUGGGCCAGGCGUGGUGGCUCAUGCCUUUAAUCCCAGGACUUUGGGAGGCUGAGGCGGGAGGAUCACUGGAGCCCAGGAGUUGGAGACAAGCCUAGGCAACAUAGUGAGAUCCCAUCUCUACAAAAAUUUUAAAAAAUUAGAUGGGUGUAGUGGCGCAUGCCUGUAGUCCCAGCUACUUGGGAGGCUGAGGCAGGAGGAUCACUUAAGACUGGGAAGUCAAGGCUGCUGUGAGCUGUGAUGGCCCCGCUGCACUCCAGCACUCCAACCUGGGCAACAGAGUGAGGCUCUGUCUCAAAAAAAAAAAAAAAAGAAAAAGAAAAAAGAAACAAGUGGAGUCUGCUGGAACACUAAAGGCAAAAGAAAGUGUUCAGAAGAAUGUACUCUACUUGAUAAAGUUUCCCACAGGGGUAUGGGUUAACAAUUUUGAUAAUCCUACACAUGUAUACUGGACUUGAACAAUUAAGUAAAUGGAUGGUGGAUGUGGAUGAUGGGAACCAGGUUUCCCGUUAUUGGAGUGGGAAUUUAGAGAUAAGCAAGCAGGAAGCAAGCCAAAUGAUCCCUGGAUUCAAGUGGUAAAUAUAAACAGGAACUCAUGUUUAGCUUAAUAUAUAUACAGAUGGUUACAAAUGGAAAUAUAGAUAUGUGUGUAUAUAUAUACACAUUGGUAUAUACAGAUAUAUUUCUUUGUUCUGUCAGUUGAGAAGGCUUAAAAGAAAUGAUACCCCAAGGCCAGGUGUGGUGGCUCACGCCUGUAAUCCCAACACUUUGGGAGGCCAAGGCAGGAGGAUGGCUUGAGGCCGGGAGUUGUAUCAGUCUGGGCAACAUGGCAAGACCUUAUCUCUACAAAAAAAAAAAUUGAAAAUUAAAAUUAGCUGAGUGUGGUGGCACACACCUGUGGUCCUAGCUACUCAGGAGGCUAAGGAGGGAGGAUCACUUGAGCCCAGGAGGUCUAGGCUGCAGUUUUUAUUGUCUUUAAAUUCUCUUCAGAUAAUUUACCCCCGCAUUGCCUACACAGCACACUGCAGAGUGCUGGGCAACUUGGUAAUUAACCCUCUAAUUGUGUAAACUGGAAGCUUCGUGAGGUUAUGGCUUCAUUACCAUGGCUACGUGGCUGUAGCCAUGAGUGUGCACUCCAGUGUGGGUGAUGGAGUGAGACUCUGUCUCAAAAAGGAAGGGAGGGAGGGAGGGAGGGAGGAAGGAAAUAAAUGACACCCUAGUAGCAAUGAGUGCACCUAGCGCCCAGUUCUUGGUUUCUAAUAAAUACCCUUCUCCGAAACAAUCAAAGCUCUUGCGAAAUGGCUGAUUUGAGGACUGGGGCAGGAAAUACGAAAGAUGAGCCUGAGGCAUCUUGUAGUGCCAGAAAGUAAGGAAGUGCUUGACGGCAACGAGAAAACCCCACAAAAAUAGGGGUGUGUCAAAGGGAGACGGGAGCCAACCGAAAGAGCUCCCAAAAGCCAAAGCUGGAACAACUUGAGCAACAAAAUCAAAUAGUAUUGGAUUAUAACCUAAAGUAUUAAAUAAUUAUCUGUGAAUCCAUACUGAUAUAAAUAAAUUACUGAAUAAAUGAGACAAAUCUUCAGUGUAGAAAAAUCCCAAAUAAUCUAUGUAGCUAUUCCAACCUUAAGGAGAUAGAGCAUAACUCCUCACUUAAGUGUGGCCCGAGCAUAGUGACUUCCUUCCAAAGAGUACAGUAUGAAAAGGGGCAAAAGAAGACUGACUUUCCAGUAGAGAAACCUGACGCAGCACCAACAGUGAUGUCAUGUUGCUAUGUGAGAAACCGCCCCAGCCAAGAGGAGCCCAGAGAGACACGACAGCUAGUGCGAUGAGGCAUGCUGGAUGGAUCCUGGAGUAGAAAAAGAUGGAGUAGAAAAAGAACGUUGGGUAAAAACGAAGGAAAUCUGAAUAAACUGUGAACUCUAAUUAAUAAAUAAUGUAUCAUUAUUGGUUUAUUAAUUGGAACAAAUAUACCAUGCGUCUGCAAUACCAUAUGUGAUGUUAAUAGCAGAAACACCAGCCUGAGCAACAUGGCGAGACUUCAUCUCUAUGAAAAAUGCAAAAAUCAGCUGGGCUUGGUGGCAUGCCCCUGUAGUCUCUGCUACUUGGGAGGCUGAGGUGGGAGGAUCGCCUGAGCCUGGGAGGCGGAGGUUGCAGUGAGCCGAGAUCGCGCCACUGCACUCCAGCCUGGGUGAAAGAGCGGGACCCUGUCUCAAUAAUAAUAAUAAUAAUGAAAGAAACAGGGUGGGUGGCUGGGGUAGACGGGAACUUUAUAUUCACAAUUUUUCUGUAAAUCUAAAAGUGUUCUAAAAAAUUGAAGUUUUUUUUUUGUAAUGGCAAACGGGUUUUAAAAACACAUUUGGUUUAUUUAGACUCCAGAGUGUCAGAGCCAUUUACGCAGCCCGCCUCAAAAACAGAAUUUCUUCCAUGGAUUAAGAGAAAUAUUCAUUUAUCC